GUGAACGCUGGCGGUAGGCCUAACACAUGCAAGUCGAACGGCAGCACAGUAAGAGCUUGCUCUUACGGGUGGCGAGUGGCGGACGGGUGAGGAAUACAUCGGAAUCUACUUUUUCGUGGGGGAUAACGUAGGGAAACUUACGCUAAUACCGCAUACGACCUACGGGUGAAAGCAGGGGAUCUUCGGACCUUGCGCGAUUGAAUGAGCCGAUGUCGGAUUAGCUAGUUGGCGGGGCAAAGGCCCACCAAGGCGACGAUCCGUAGCUGGUCUGAGAGGAUGAACAGCCACCGCGGAAUAGAGAGCCGGCCAAGAACCUGACGGGAGGCAGAAGGUGUGAAUAUCGGAGAAUGGGAGACAGAGUACGCCUGCCAUCCCGCGUGGGUGUAGAAGGCCUUCGAGUUGUAAAGCCCUUUUCUUAGGAAAGAAAAGCAGCAGGUUAAUACCCCGCUGUUCUGAAGAUACCCAAAGAAUAAGCACCGGCUAACUUCGU
rnacentral:rRNA from 1 species